GCGUUUAAAUUGCUCAGAAAAAAAAUAAUCUAAUUUGACGUCAUUCUUUAUUUAGGUAUAUAUAGAUGAGAAUUGUAAAAUUGAAUUGAAAUAGUUAAACAAACUAGACAAAUGAGUGUAAUAGAAAAAGUAAUUGUAUUAUAUUAAUUGAACUACUUUCAAGAACAUUGACGUUAAACUAGAGAAAUUUCCAGAAGGUAACUUGUUUUAUAUGAAGAUUUAAUUAAUCAUAAUAACUUAAAGUGGCAUUAAAUUUUUGAAAAUAAAAGAAAAUAAUGAAGAAGACUAUUUUAAAAAGUUUGUACAUUUUAUUUAUUCAAAUGUUAUCGAUUCUUCUCGCUGAAGAGAAACCAAUAACUAUUGAAUUAAAUACACCCCUUGGUAGAAUAAAGGGAUCAUUUAUGACGACAAGAUUGGAAAGAAAUAUAUAUUCUUUUCGAGGAAUGAGGUACGCAGAACCUCCUGUGGGUCGGCGAAGAUUUAAGCAAGCAGAGCCAGUAAAACCAUGGAAGGGAAUUUUUGAUGCUUCCGUGGAAGGACCAGCUUGUCCACAACCUGGUAACUCGUCAGACAUUUCUGAAGAUUGCUUGCGAUUAAAUGUUUAUACAAAUCAGCUACCGACUAGUUUAAACGCAGUGAAAAAGCCUGUCAUAGUUUAUUUCCAUCCUGGAGCCUUUUAUGCUGGAUCUGCACAAAGUAAUUUCCCAGGACCUCAAUAUUUAUUAGACAAAGAAGUUGUGUUAGUUACUGUAAAUUAUCGUCUGGCCUCCUUAGGAUUCAUAAGUACUGGAGACUCAUUACUGCCAGGAAAUCUCGGUCUUAAGGAUCAAGUAGCGGCGUUACGUUGGGUAAAAAAAUAUAUCGCGGCUUUUGGAGGUAAUCCUGAUUGCGUGACAAUUACGGGAUACAGUGCAGGAGGCUGGAGUGUCACAUUACAUUUGGUGUCACCCAUGUCAAGGGGAUUAUUUCACAGGGUAAUUGCAAUGAGUGGUUCGGCUGUUUUUCAGGAACCAUUUCCCAAACAUCAGAAGCAUUUAGCAAUAAAGCAAGCUCAACUUUUACAUUGUCCAACCGACAAUGUUCAAAAUAUACUCAAUUGCUUGAAUACAAAAUCUGCUGAAGAAAUUGCUAAUACUUUAGAUGAAUUCUUUGAAUGGUAUGAUAAUCCAAUUUGGAUUUGGACUCCAGUAAUUGAGCCGAUAGUUCCUGGGGUUGAAAGAUUUCUCACUGAUGACCCAGCAAAAUUAAUAAGGGAAGGAAAAUUCGAACAAGUUCCAUUUAUAGCAGGUGUCACUAGAGAUGAAAUUAUAGAUAUCAUAAUACUGGCAAAAGAAGAAGCUAAAAAAGGAAACUCUUCUAUGUUCAAUGAUUUGAAUACAAAGUGGGAAGAAAUCGCACCUAUUAUAUUUGUUUACGAAAGAAAUACUACUAAAUCAAGACAAAUUAGUAAAGAGUUAAAAUCAUUUUACAUACAUGAUGAACCAAUUACUGUUAAUAAUCUUCAAGGAAUUGCAGGAAUUUAUCGUGAUUCUUUAAUUUCGUAUUCAGUGCAUCGCCUUAUUAAUUUAUUGUCAGCUUCAUCGUGUAAACCUGUCUAUUAUUACCACUUUAUUUAUCAGGGAAGAUUCAGUCAUGAUUUGGAUCCUGAUACAAACAAACCCUAUGGUGUUUCGCAUCACGAUGACUUGAUGUAUAUUUUUUACAUUAAACAAUUUCCACUUUUCACAAAAAUUGAUCCAGAGACACGGAUCGUAGAACGAAUGACGGCUAUAUGGGAAAAUUUUGCUAAAACUGGAAAACCAAUUCCUCGAGAUAAUGAAGUAUUUAAAAAUGUUUCAUGGAAGAGAUUCACACCUCAGUGUAAACGAUAUUUUGAAAUUGGCAAUGAAUUUGUCAUGAGAAAUGGUCUUAUUAAUCCCAGAGAAAUGGCAUUGUGGGAUAAAUUGUUCCCCCUGCCAUGAAUACAAAUACAUUAAGGAGAAAAAUAGCUAUCUUAACUAAAAUUAAAUUACAUUAGCUAACCCCAAUUGCUAUUAUAUAGAUAGCAAUUAUUGCUAGCUAAUACAGUUCAUAAUUAGCUUCCAUAUAGCUAAUAUGUUUUGCUGUGGCAACUAAAUAUUAGCUACCAAACCUAAAAAUCCGCUAUUCAUAUAAUAGUAAACUCAUUUUUCUUCGUUAAUUAUUUUACUGUUUGAUUUUUAUACUAUAACUAUAUACAUAAUAAAUCUUAUAUUUUUUUAUCGGUUGCAAUGAUGAUUUAAGGGUUGAAAAUAGCAGUUGAUAUAUUAAUUUAUUAAUUAAAUUUAAUGCGAGCUAUAAGCGAAAUAGUUGCUAUAUGUGACGCUCCACGAGAGAAGGGACCUAUAUCUCGGAAAUAUUAGUUUUCAUGUACGGUGCAUGGAAAACUGAGCCUAAUGUUAUUUUGUAAGCAACUGAGGAAUCCCCUUAAAUGUUUACGUAAUACUUGAAUGACCCCAAACCACACUGUAAAUCCCCGAGUAAUGAGUUUCAAGCAAAUCUGAUAAACUUAGGAUACAAGAACGAUAUGUUUUAUUUUUAGAAGCAAUUAUAUUCACAUUUUCUUUAUCAUUUACAGAGAAACAAUAAAAAAAAGCGAAUAAAAUAACAUUUCAAAGAAGUGACAAGUACUUUUUAUUUUUAAAUCAUUUUUUCAGCAUAUUAUUUACAAAAUUCUUUUAUAUAAUGUAUUUUUUUCAUUAAUUUCCUUAUUGUCGUAGUGUAUUUUUUUCCCGCGUUAUUAAUUUAAUCUUCAGUAGACUAAACACUGUUCUGGAGGCAACUUGUUUCAUAUGAAUAAUGUAUUAAUUUCUUUUUUAUUAUCAUCUCAUAUUAAUUAUAAAUACUUAAAAGUAGCAUUAAAAUUUUGAAAAUAAAAGACAAAACAAAAUGAAGAGGACUAUUUUACAAUGUUUGUGCAUCUUAUUUAUUUCAAUGGUAUCGGUUCUUCUUGCUGCAGAAGAAUCUAGCACUAUUGAAUUAAAUACACCCCUUGGUAGAGUAAAGGGAUUAUUAAUGACGACCAGAUUGGGAAGAAUGAUCUACUCAUUUCGUGGAAUGAGCAAGCAGAGCCAGUAAAACCGUGGACGGAAAUUUUUGAUGCUUCCAUUGAUGGCCCAGGUUGUCCACAACCUGGUAACUCGUCCCUCAUUUCUGAAGAUUGCCUGCGAUUAAAUGUUUAUAC